rnacentral:ncRNA from 2 species
GCACAAUCUAAUAAAACAGGUGCCUUUUUAGGAGAAUAGGAAAGUAAGUUACGCUUCACGGUCACGCCGCUGUAUGGGAGGAGUACUGCUUUGUAAAGCCACUGGGAAACCGGGAAGGCAAAGCAGCGCCAUGAUGCCUUAGUCAGAAGACCUGCCUGUUUUAGUUCAUUCAU